rnacentral:rRNA from 1 species
AACGAACGCUGGCGGCAUGCCUAACACAUGCAAGUCGAACGAGACCUUCGGGUCUAGUGGCGCACGGGUGCGUAACGCGUGGGAAUCUGCCCUUGGGUUCGGAAUAACAGUUAGAAAUGACUGCUAAUACCGGAUAAUGUCUUCGGACCAAAGAUUUAUCGCCCAGGGAUGAGCCCGCGUAGGAUUAGCUAGUUGGUGAGGUAAAGGCUCACCAAGGCGACGAUCCUUAGCUGGUCUGAGAGGAUGAUCAGCCACACUGGGACUGAGACACGGCCCAGACUCCUACGGGAGGCAGCAGUGGGGAAUAUUGGACAAUGGGCGAAAGCCUGAUCCAGCAAUGCCGCGUGAGUGAUGAAGGCCUUAGGGUUGUAAAGACUCUUUUACCCGGGAUGAUAAUGACAGUACCGGGAGAAUAAGCCCCGGCUAACUCCGUGCCAGCAGCCGCGGUAAU